rnacentral:rRNA from 1 species
AGUGAACGCUGGCGGUAGGCCUAACACAUGCAAGUCGAACGGCAGCACAGUAAGAGCUUGCUCUUACGGGUGGCGAGUGGCGGACGGGUGAGGAAUACAUCGGAAUCUACUUUGUCGUGGGUGAGAACGUGGGGAAACUUACGCUAAUACCGCAUACGACCUACGGGUGAAAUCAGGGGAUCUUCGGACCUUGCGCGAUUGUAUGAGCCGAUGUCGGAUUAGCUAGUUGGCGGGGUAAAGGCCCACCAAGGCGACGAUCCGUAGCUGGUCUGAGAGGAUGAUCAGCCACACUGGAACUAAGACACGGUCCAGACUCCUACGGGAGGCAGCAGUGGGGAAUAUUGGACAAUGGGCGAAAGCCUGAUCCAGCCAUACCGCGUGGGUGAAGAAGGUCUUCGGGUUGUAAAGCCCUUUUAUUGGGAAAGAAAAGCAGCAGGUUAAUACCCCGCUGUUCUGACGGUACCCAAAGAAUAAGCACCGGCUAACUUCGUG